rnacentral:sRNA from 1 species
GAUGAGAAGCUUCGACUAAGGUUCGAUUCGAGCGAAAGCGAGAAAGCGUUGCCGCAGGCAACGACCCGAAGGGCGAAGCGCGCAGCGCUGAGUAAUCCUUCCCCCACCACCA